rnacentral:rRNA from 1 species
GACGUAGGGGGCGAGCGUUGUCCGGAUUUAUUGGGCGUAAAGCGCGCGUAGGCGGCUGCGCAAGUCGGUUGUGAAACCCCGGGGCUCAACCCCGGAACUGCAUCCGAUACUGCGUGGCUAGAGGUAGGUAGGGGAGAUCGGAAUUCCUGGUGUAGCGGUGAAAUGCGUAGAUAUCGAGAGGAACACCUGCGGCGAAGGCGGGUUGCUGGGCCGACACUGACGCUGAGGCGCGAAAGCCAGGGGAGCGAACGGG